UAUGCGGGGGGAAGGAACCAACAGGGAUUGCCCUAGUAACGGCGAGUGAAGCGGCAACAGCUCAAAUUUGAAAUCUGGCCCUUUUGGGGGUCCGAGUUGUAAUUUGUAGAGGGUGCUUUGGUGUUGGCCCUGGUCUAAGUCCCCUGGAACGGGGCGUCACAGAGGGUGAGAAUCCCGUAUGUGGCCGGCGGUCUUCACCUUGUAAAGCCCCUUCGACGAGUCGAGUUGUUUGGGAAUGCAGCUCUAAAUGGGAGGUAAAUUUCUUCUAAAGCUAAAUAUUGGCCAGAGACCGAUAGCGCACAAGUAGAGUGAUCGAAAGAUGAAAAGCACUUUGGAAAGAGAGUCAAAAAGCACGUGAAAUUGUUGAAAGGGAAGCGCUUGCAGCCAGACUUGCCCGUAGUUGCUCAUCCAGGCUUCUGCCUGGUGCACUCUUCUGCGGGCAGGCCAGCAUCAGUCUGGGCGGUUGGAUAAAGACUCUGGGAAUGUGGCUCCUCUCGGGGAGUGUUAUAGCCCAGAGUGCCAUGCAGCCAGCCCAAACUGAGGUCCGCGCAUCUGCUAGGAUGCUGGCGUAAUGGCUGUAAGCGGCCCGUCUUGAAACACGGACCAAGGAGUCUAACAUCUAUGCGAGUGUUUGGGUGUCAAGCCCGGGCGCGUAAUGAAAGUGAACGGAGGUGGGAACCCUUUGGGGCGCACCAUCGACCGAUCCUGAUGUCUUCGGAUGGAUUUGAGUAAGAGCAUAGCUGUUGGGACCCGAAAGAUGGUGAACUAUGCCUGAAUAGGGUGAAGCCAGAGGAAACUCUGGUGGAGGCUCGCAGCGGUUCUGACGUGCAAAUCGAUCGUCAAAUUUGGGCAUAGGGGCGAAAGACUAAUCGAACUAUCUAGUAGCUGGUUCCUGCCGAAGUUUCCCUCAGGAUAGCAGUAACGUCUUCAGUUUUAUGAGGUAGAGCGAAUGAUUAGAGGCCUGGGGGUUGAAACAACCCUUCACCUAUUCUCAAACUUCGGAUAUGUAAGAAGUCCUUGUUACUUAAUUGAACGUGGACAUUUGAAUGUAUCGUACUAGUGGGCCAUUUUUGGUAAGCAGACUGGCGAUGGCGGGAUGAACCGACGCGGAUAGUGCAGGAUGCACGCUCAUCAGAACACCCACAAAAGGUGUAGUUCAUCUUAGAACAGCAGGACGGUGGCCCAUGG
rnacentral:rRNA from 1 species